CUUUUAAAUUUCUUGUAAGUCGUUUACUAAAAUUACUAUCAAACUUUACAAGUAAUUUUAAUAGUAAUUCUAAUAAUUUACCUUUUUAAAAUAUUUUGUAAAAGCCUGUUUAAAACGUCUUUGAAAAUCCUUUUAAAAUACCUUGUAAAUAUUUCGUUAUGCCACUUACAUAUACUUUUAACAAUUGUGAAUCAAGUUAAACACUUUUACAAGCUUUUAAAAUCCCUUAUAAAUCAUUUUCUGACAUUAACUUAUUCUUCUUAAACGAUUGUUAAUCAAGUAAACCCCUUUUAAAAGCUUUUAAAAUCCCUUGUAAAUCAUGUUUUACCACUUUAUUAUCCUUAAAAACCGAUAGCAAA
rnacentral:sRNA from 1 species